GUCACGAUAGCUCAAGUGGUAGAGCAGUGGCGUCCAAAGCAGAAGGUCGUGGGUUCGAAUCCCGCUCGUGACA
rnacentral:tRNA from 1 species